rnacentral:rRNA from 1 species
UACGGAGGGGGCGAGCGUUAUUCGGAAUUAUUGGGCGUAAAGGGCGCGUAGGCGGCUGGGUAAGUCAAAGGUGAAAUCCCUCGGCUCAACUGAGGAACUGCCUUUGAGACUGUCUAGCUCGAGGCCGGGAGGGGGUGGCGGAAUUCCCAGUGUAGCGGUGAAAUGCGUAGAUAUUGGGAGGAGCACCAGUGGCGAAGGCGGCCACCUGGACCGGUUCUGACGCUGAUGCGCGAAAGCGUGGGUAGCAAACAGG